CAAAACUGGUUGUUCAAAGUUGGACCUCUUAAUAUUUCCCUCGCAGGUAUCGACUGUCCAAACAUUCCAGUGUGGCUUUACACCUGGACAAGAAUUAGUUGCAGAACUUCAAUAUACGAAACUUUUAAAGAAUAACGAUAAGUGGAAAUCAACCUGUACACUAUUAUAAAGGACUUCAUCUACAAGUUCUACUAAUUAUGUCAAAAGACGUACCAAGAUACGUACUAGAACCCUCAAGCCAUCUUAAAAUAUUUCCAUUAGAGAGGAUGUGCCAGAUAAAAAUUAUGAACAUUUUAUGCAGAAAGCAGCAAUUAAUCAGUGUGAUUAGAAAUGCUUCGUUUCCGGAAAAAUUUUCCGACGCAUUAAACCUGACAAAAAAAGAAGCAUUCAGAAACGUUGAAGCUAAGGCAGAAGAGCUUCUUUCAGAUAUUUUCAAGGUGAAAAACUGUCGAACAUUAAUAUUGGAAAUGCUUUUUCCAGCUUUUUACAGGAUAAUAUUUUGGAAGCAUAUCUAUGCUCCAACCGUUGAUGACAGAUUUCUGCAUACAUUUUACUUUACACACAGAGGUGUAAUAGACAAUGAAAAAACUGCAAUACAUUUAUUGGAAAAUGAAAUGAUUCCGGUGAGAAAGCGAUUUAUGAUCGCUCGUAGUUUAUGUUUAGAUACAGAAAUAUAUCAAAUGUGGGAAAAUAUGGACUCUAAUGACAGGAAUUCUUUACAUAGAGAAGUUUUUGAAAUGUGGUAUAGAAUUGACGCCGAGGACGCGCUUUCUAUACGAAAAGUCAAUAACGAAAUCUACCCACUGCUUUAUUUCUGGCUUGAAAAACUUGAAAACCCCGAUUUGGAGCACAUAGAAGAUCUGAAGGCAGCAAUUUUUUCUGCAAUAGAUGUCGGGUCCAUAUCUGCAGUUAAAUACCUUUUUAGAUUAUUACGAUCAGAAGUGGCGAAUGGCACGGCAAUAGUCUUUCACAGUUACUUACAUAAUGAUCGGAUAUGUUCCUUGCUUCCCGAAGAAGAAGAGAUUGACAUUAAAAAAUUCCUCAUUUCGAUGAUGUUUAAAAAAUUUCAAAAAAUAAGUAAACUUUAAAUUUGAAAAGAUUGAUGACUUUGCAGACACUUUUAUACUACUCAGCAGUUUGAAAUACUGUCAUUAUUAACAUACUAAGCUCGUUGUUCGAACAUGGAAUUCAAUGACAUACACUUUAUGUAUUUGCAAAGUUACUCCAUAGAUAAUUGUAUAUAGUAGACAGUUGUAUUUGUUGGUGUAUAUUAUACAUUAGUAAUAGUCUCGUAUGAUUUAAGGUGGCAUGAAAUUUCAAGAUUGCGCAUAUAGUUUCGCAAUACAUUGCGGAGACUCUUAUUACUCAGCAGAUUGAAAUCUCAUCAUGAUUAAUAUAUUAAGCUCGUAAUUCAAAAAUGGAGUUCAUUGAUAUGCACUUUAUAUAUUUUAAAACAAGAUGUUCCGUGGAUAAUUGCAUACAGUAGAUUGUUGUAUUUGUUGUUAUAUAUUAUACAUUAGUGAUUAUAUAGUAUAAUUUAAGGUGGCACGAAAUUUUUAGAUUGCGUGUAUGGUUUCGCAAUACAUUGCGGAGACUCUUUUUACUCAGCAGUUUGAAAUCCCGUCAUGAUUGACAUACUAACCUCGUUACUCGGACAUGGAGUUCACUGAAAUGCACUUUGUGUAUUUACAAAAAAGAUGCUCCUUGGAUAAUUGUAUACAGUAGAUAGUUGUAUUUGUUGUUGUAUAUUAUACAUUAGUGAUAGUCUCAUAUAAUUAAAUGUGGCAUGAAAUGAAAAAUUCAUCAAAAUAUCGAUAUUUUUCUAUUGAUUUAUAUAACUAGAAUUAUUAUAUCUGUAAUAUUCCAUAGCUGUAUCUAUAAUUUUUAUUAAGUCAUUUAAUAAUUUUUGAUACAUGAAAGGAGAACAAACAAUAUUGUUACACUUAUUUUUCAAAUCUCUUGCUA